rnacentral:rRNA from 1 species
UUGGAGGGCAAGUCUGGUGCCAGCAGCCGCGGUAAUUCCAGCUCCAAUAGCGUAUAUUAAAGUUGUUGCAGUUAAAAAGCUCGUAGUUGAAUUUCGGGAUUAAUGUUUCGGUCAUGCCGUUGGUAUGUACUGAUAUUAUUGAUUUCUCACCUUCUAAAGAACCGUAAUGCCAUUAAUUUGGUGUCACGGGGAAUUAGGACUGUUACCUUGAAAAAUUAGAGUGUUUAAAGCAGGCUCACGCUUGAAUACAUUAGCAUGGCAUAAUGAAAUAGGACAUCCGAUUCUAUUUUGUUGGUUUCUAGGAUCGAUGUAAUGAUUAAUAGGGAUAGUUGGGGGCAUUAGUAUUCAAUUGUCAGAGGUGAAAUUCUUGGAUUUAUUGAAUACUAACUACUGCGAAAGCAUUUGCCAAGGAUGUUUUCAUUAAUCAAGAACGAAAGUUAGGGGAUCGAAGACGAUCAGAUACCGUCGUAGUCUUAACCAUAAACUAUGCCGACUAGGGAUCGGAUGAUGUUAAUUUUUUAAUGACUCAUUCGGCGCCUUACGGGAAAC